rnacentral:rRNA from 1 species
GACGAACGCUGGCGGCGUGCCUAAUACAUGCAAGUCGAACGAGAGCGACCGGUGCUUGCACUGGUCAAUCUAGUGGCGAACGGGUGAGUAACACGUGGGUAACCUGCCCAUCAGAGGGGGAUAACAUUCGGAAACGGAUGCUAAAACCGCAUAGGUCCUUUAACCGCAUGGUUGAAGGAGGAAAAGAGGCGCAAGCUUCUGCUGAUGGAUGGACCCGCGGUGCAUUAGCUAGUUGGUGAGGUAACGGCUCACCAAGGCCGUGAUGCAUAGCCGACCUGAGAGGGUGAUCGGCCACAUUGGGACUGAGACACGGCCCAAACUCCUACGGGAGGCAGCAGUAGGGAAUCUUCCGCAAUGGACGCAAGUCUGACGGAGCAACGCCGCGUGAGUGAAGAAGGUUUUCGGAUCGUAAAACUCUGUUGUUAGAGAAGAACAAGUGCUAGAGUAACUGUUAGCGCCUUGACGGUAUCUAACCAGAAAGCCACGGCUAACUACGUGCCAGCAGCCGCGGUAAUACGUAGGUGGCAAGCGUUGUCCGGAUUUAUUGGGCGUAAAGCGAGCGCAGGCGGUUCCUUAAGUCUGAUGUGAAAGCCCCCGGCUCAACCGGGGAGGGUCAUUGGAAACUGGGGAACUUGAGUGCAGAAGAGGAGAGUGGAAUUCCAUGUGUAGCGGUGAAAUGCGUAGAUAUAUGGAGGAACACCAGUGGCGAAGGCGACCCUCUGGUCUGUAACUGACGCUGAGGCUCGAAAGCGUGGGUAGCAAACAGG